GACGAACGCUGGCGGCGUGCUUAACACAUGCAAGUCGAACGGAAAGGCCCUGCUUUUGUGGGGUGCUCGAGUGGCGAACGGGUGAGUAACACGUGAGUAACCUGCCCUUGACUUUGGGAUAACUUCAGGAAACUGGGGCUAAUACCGGAUAGGAGCUCCUGCUGCAUGGUGGGGGUUGGAAAGUUUCGGCGGUUGGGGAUGGACUCGCGGCUUAUCAGCUUGUUGGUGGGGUAGUGGCUUACCAAGGCUUUGACGGGUAGCCGGCCUGAGAGGGUGACCGGCCACAUUGGGACGGAGAUACGGCCCAGACUCCUACGGGAGGCAGCAGUGGGGAAUAUUGCACAAUGGGCGGAAGCCUGAUGCAGCAACGCCGCGUGCGGGAUGACGGCCUUCGGGUGGUAAACCGCUUUCGCCUGUGACGAAGCGUGAGUGACGGUAAUGGGUAAAGAAGCACCGGCUAACUACGU
rnacentral:rRNA from 1 species